UUUCGCGGGGACUUUCUACUAACCCUACCGAGUGAUCGCCUCCUGUACUGAACGUUUGUUAUUUUCUGUUCCUGGUUUUAACAAACUACAGGAGGCUUUGAAGCAGCAUUGGACACGUCUCGGAACCAAAAAAAAAAAAGCCAGGAUCACCUCCCUGCCCAUUGUGCUCAGUGUCCCGACUGAAACACCGUGAAACUAGGCCGUGGUCAGCUCGGCUGCCGCGAAGAGUUAGUCUCUGCUGCCCCGGUGUUUUCAUUGAGGGAAUCUCUUCAUCUGAGCAUAUUAAACCUGAGCAGGGUGACUCUGUCGGACAUCCAGUGGUCCGAUUGGAUAGCCUAAGCUCAAACAAAC
rnacentral:telomerase_RNA from 1 species